AUAUGCAGGAUGUCUGAUAUAUGUCCCCUCUGAAGGGCCAUGACUCACAUGUUGAAAACUACUGGCCUAGAAGAAAUAAAGUUUGGGGACAGACUUUUCAGAACCUCUUUCUGCGGAGUGCUACAUUUCUAUCUUCUCUUCCUCUUCUUUCCUCUACCUCUCCAAAAGCAGUUAGCCUGAUGGAUAUUCUGCAGUUGUAUUUCAGGAGAUAAAAUCUUCAUAUUUGAAGCAUAAUUAUCCACAGCAAAAGUCAGAACUUUAGGCCUGGCUGGCCUUAAGUGCAUAGCUGUGUUGUCUCCAUCUCCAUUCCCUUGAAUGCUGAGAUGAUGAAUGUGUUACCAUGCUUGGCUCAGUCUUUUUUUUUGUAUAAUAAAUAAACAUUUCACAAAUAGCAAUUUAUCAUUCUUAACCAGGUCAGCAUCAGAGAAAGACCAUGUAUGUUGCCCCCGAACACAGCUUUGCACCAAGACCACACAUGAUAAUAUUGGGCUGGAGUGAUGGAUCAGUGAUUGAAAGUACUUAUUUUCUAAGAGGAUCUGGGUUCAAUUCCCAGUACCCCCAUGGGGAUGCACAGCUGUCUCUAACUCCAGUUCUCGGGGAUCUGACAUCCUACCCUUGCUUCUGCAGGCAUCAGGCAUGCACAU